AUUGAACGCUGGCGGCAGGCUUAACACAUGCAAGUCGAGCGGAGAGAGGUAGCUUGCUACUGAUCUUAGCGGCGGACGGGUGAGUAAUGCUUAGGAAUCUGCCUAUUAGUGGGGGACAACAUUUCGAAAGGAAUGCUAAUACCGCAUACGUCCUACGGGAGAAAGCAGGGGAUCUUCGGACCUUGCGCUAAUAGAUGAGCCUAAGUCGGAUUAGCUAGUUGGUGGGGUAAAGGCCUACCAAGGCGACGAUCUGUAGCGGGUCUGAGAGGAUGAUCCGCCACACUGGGACUGAGACACGGCCCAGACUCCUACGGGAGGCAGCAGUGGGGAAUAUUGGACAAUGGGCGCAAGCCUGAUCCAGCCAUGCCGCGUGUGUGAAGAAGGCCUUAUGGUUGUAAAGCACUUUAAGCGAGGAGGAGGCUACUUUAGUUAAUACCUAGAGAUAGUGGACGUUACUCGCAGAAUAAGCACCGGCUAACUCUGUGCCAGCAGCCGCAGUAACAC
rnacentral:rRNA from 1 species